UCACCGGGAAUACAAUUACCAAU
rnacentral:miRNA from 1 species